AGUGAACGCUGGCGGUAGGCCUAACACAUGCAAGUCGAACGGCAGCACAGUAAGAGCUUGCUCUUACGGGUGGCGAGUGGCGGACGGGUGAGGAAUACAUCGGAAUCUACUUUUUCGUGGGGGAUAACGUAGGGAAACUUACGCUAAUACCGCAUACGACCUACGGGUGAAAGCAGGGGAUCUUCGGACCUUGCGCGAUUGAAUGAGCCGAUGUCGGAUUAGCUAGUUGGCGGGGUAAAGGCCCACCAAGGCGACGAUCCGUAGCUGGUCUGAGAGGAUGAUCAGCCACACUGGAACUGAGACACGGUCCAGACUCCUACGGGAGGCAGCAGUGGGGAAUAUUGGGCAAAGGGCGCAAGCCUGAUCCAGCUAUACCGCGUGGGUGAAGAAGGCCUUCGGGUUGUAAAGCCCUUUUGUUGGGAAAGAAAAGCAGCAGGUUAAUACCCCGCUGUUCUGACGGUACCCAAAGAAUAAGCACCGGCUAACUUCGUG
rnacentral:rRNA from 1 species